UAUUCUGCCCUACCGGGAAGGAUGAGAAGCUUCGACCAAGGUUCGACUCGAGCGCCAGCGAGAGAACGUUGCCGCAGGCAACGGCCCGAAGGGCGAGGAGCUAUAGCGACGAGUUAUCCUUCCCCCUCUAUUC
rnacentral:sRNA from 2 species